UUUUUUUUUUUUUUUUUUUUUUUUGAGUCAGAGUCUCGCUCUGUUACCCAGGCUGGAAUGCAGUGGUGCGAUCUCAGCUCACUGCAACCUCUACCUCCCAAGUUCAAGCGAUUCUCCUACCUCAGCCUCCCCAGUAACUGGGAUUAUAGGCACUCGCCGCCACACCCAGCUAAUUUUUGUAUUUUCAGUACAGACGGGGUUUCACCAUGUUGGCCAGGCUGGUCUUGAACUCCUGACCUCAAGUGAUCCGCCCACCUUGGACUCUCGAAGUGCUGGGAUUGCAGGUGUGAGCCAUGGCGCCUGGCCUCGAGCAUCUUCUUAGAAGUAUCGCCCCACAGCCCCAUGGGGGAGGCAGGAUAGUACCUGUUAGAGACAAAGAUAGUGAACCCUGAGAAAGGAGGAGAAGGCUGAGGCAGCACAGGCUCCACUGGGCCUAGAACCUGGCUCUCCAGGGUCCCAGUGCCCUCUCCAGGUGCCUGGGCAAAACUGCUGACCAUGGCCUGGCUCCAAGAGUGACUUGGUACUUUCGCCCAUCACCCCAGGCUGGCCCUAGAGUCCACCCCAUGGGCCUUUGCCUCCUUUCCUUCCUGCCGGGGUCGACCCAGCCUUCAGAAGGCCCCCCGCAGCCUCAGUUACUGUGGAGAGUGGGGGACGAGGGGAGGAUGGCUUAUCCCACAGCUGCUGCCCAGAUGUGCCAGCUCCCACCUGGCUCUCCCAGCAACUGCCUGUCUGCCUGGAGAAAGCCAGGGAGUGGGGGCUCCCAAGAAGGCUGCUCAGAAGUCCCUCUCCCUGAGGAGGAAAGAGCUGGGUCAAAGGCCCUUUGCCCUGUUUGCCCUAUGCCUCCACCCCAAGCCUCACACUAAUGCCAAGAACAGCCUUGCAGUGUGGGCAGCCAGCAUUGUGUUACCCACUCAGCCGAGGGGAGGCUGAGCAGAUGUCUCCAGACCCCUGGCACCUGCUUACUUUGGAUCCGAACUCCCUCUUGGGUCUCACUCUUCCCAUUAAUUUGGCAAAGAUUCCCUGAGCCCCCACUAUGUAUUCCUUUAAUAAAUCAUGUUUGGUAUUUGGUGAACGCUUACUAUACCCUUGGCACUGUUCCGAAGACAUUAUUAUCCUAUUGACUCCAUUAAUAGCUGUCACAAUCAUGUGAGGUAGAUUAUAUUACUAUGCCCAUUUCAUAGAUGGACACACUGAGGUGCCGAGAAAUAAAGUAACUUGCUUGGUACCACACAGCCAGGAAGGGGCAGGGCCAGGAUUUGAACCCGGUCUGUCUAGGAUGCUUCUCUGGCAAGUGACUGUCUUAUCUAACUUGGCGAAGAAAGUGUAGCAAGACUCAGGAAGCCAGAUUACCUCUAAUUCAUUGCGCUGGCACAAGGGACC
rnacentral:lncRNA from 1 species